UACGGAGGGUGCGAGCGUUAUCCGGAAUUACUGGGUUUAAAGGGUGCGUAGGCGGCCAGGUAAGUCAGGAGUGAAAGUUUGCGGCUCAACCGUAAAAUUGCUUUUGAUACUGCCAGGCUAGAAUUAGGAUGAGGUCAGCGGAAUGUGGCAUGUAGCGGUGAAAUGCAUAGAUAUGCCAUAGAACACCAAUUGCGAAGGCAGCUGGCUAGACCUGGAUUGACGCUGAGGCACGAAAGCGUGGGGGAGCGAACAGG
rnacentral:rRNA from 1 species